ACAUAUGCAUAAAAAAUGAUUGGAAAAAUUGUGCUCGAAAAAAAUAUACUACUCUACCUAAUAAAAAUUCUUGAAUUGUAUGCUGCCAUGAACGGAAAUGCGAUUUGUUUGGAUGAUAAGAAUAAUACAAAGUGUUGCACAAACUACAUUUAUAAUGCUGAGGAGGACCGAUGUAUAGAGUGUGUCGGAAGAUUUGGAGAGCAUUGUUCAGAUCCCUGUCCUGAAAGGUUCUAUGGAGCUUCCUGUAGAAGGCAGUGUAACUGUUCAAGUGAGACUUGUCAUAAAA